rnacentral:rRNA from 1 species
AUACAUGCAAGUCGAACGCACAGCGAAAGGUGCUUGCACCUUUCAAGUGAGUGGCGAACGGGUGAGUAACACGUGGACAACCUGCCUCAAGGCUGGGGAUAACAUUUGGAAACAGAUGCUAAUACCGAAUAAAACUUAGUGUCGCAUGACACAAAGUUAAAAGGCGCUUCGGCGUCACCUAGAGAUGGAUCCGCGGUGCAUUAGUUAGUUGGUGGGGUAAAGGCCUACCAAGACAAUGAUGCAUAGCCGAGUUGAGAGACUGAUCGGCCACAUUGGGACUGAGACACGGCCCAAACUCCUACGGGAGGCUGCAGUAGGGAAUCUUCCACAAUGGGCGAAAGCCUGAUGGAGCAACGCCGCGUGUGUGAUGAAGGCUUUCGGGUCGUAAAGCACUGUUGUAUGGGAAGAACAGCUAGAAUAGGAAAUGAUUUUAGUUUGACGGUACCAUACCAGAAAGGGACGGCUAAAUACGUGCCAGCAGCCGCGGUAAUACGUAUGUCCCKAGCGUUAUCCGGAUUUAUUGGGCGUAAAGCGAGCGCAGACGGUUUAUUAAGUCUGAUGUGAAAGCCCGGAGCUCAACUCCGGAAUGGCAUUGGAAACUGGUUAACUUGAGUGCAGUAGAGGUAAGUGGAACUCCAUGUGUAGCGGUGGAAUGCGUAGAUAUAUGGAAGAACACCAGUGGCGAAGGCGGCUUACUGGACUGCAACUGAC